rnacentral:lncRNA from 1 species
UGACAAGCAUCUCCACCCUUUGAGAGUGACAGGAGAGGGCACUGUUAUCAAGAGCAAGAAGAGAAAAGUUGUCUCUACAGCCACAAGUUCAGAGUCCAUAUCUCAGGGGCCAUUCGGGAUACUUAACUCCGAGAUUCAAUCAAUGAAUGAAUUAGUAUCACAACUUCCGAGUGGGCCCCUCUCCUCCUAGCCUAGCCCUUCUUACUUCUGCAGAGAGGAGAUGCACGAUUACUUGGAGACUCAGAGACGCCAGCAAGACUCGAUGAAGACCAUGGAUGAUAUUGUGAAGAAAAUGGCGGCCUCCGUGGCCAAUUUGGAGGGGGCCUAUGGCACUUUGGCCAAGGCCCAUUCUGAGCUUCAGUAGAACUUUCAGAAAGAAAGGAGAGCCUCCGUGGCCAAUUUGGAGGGUGCCUAUGGCACUUUGGCCGAGGCCCAUUCUGAGCUUCAGGAGAAUUUCAGAAAGAGAAGGAGAAGAACAAGAAGAAGAAUAAAUUCAUGGUCAAGAUGUGUAGAGGCAUCAAAGCCAUCUUCAAAUGGGCAAACCAGGA